rnacentral:piRNA from 1 species
UGCAUUUCUGAAAACAACUAGGGAUACU